CGGGCUAUGGCGCAGCUUGGUAGCGCACCUCACUGGGGGUGAGGGGGUCGCAGGUUCAAAUCCUGUUAGCCCGACCA
rnacentral:tRNA from 1 species